GUGUGUGUAGAAUAUCCAUCAUGGCCCGCUCAUAAAGCCAAUAAUGAAGCUGUUCUGGCAAAUGAUGUGGCAUCUCCACACCUGCAUAAGUGUCCAAAGGUCAAUUUAACACCAUCGAGUAGCUCUCAGCCUGCUCAGGCCUCAUUUUUCCUCCCUUACCGCAUUGUUUAUUUUUUGUUUUUCUUCCAGUUGAUUAGUGUCCAACAUUUCAAAUUCUUUGGCUGCACAUCGCUCCUUCUUUUCCUCUCCGGCGUCUGUGCUCCAAGCAAGAAAUACAGGUCGACUUUUUAACCAUCUGUCUAGAUGGAGAAAAUAAAGUGGUAUUGAUUGGUUGAAAUGUUUCUUCUGGUAAAGUCUGCAAACUACGUUUCUGCACUGUUGUAAGAUGAUUGAGACUGGCAGCGGUGCUUGGCACGGGUAGUGCCGCGCUUAUAAUGAAGUACGCCAUUGUGUGCUUGCAUUGAAGGCAUUAUACAUCGAGUCGCUACAAGGGCGCCUGGCAUCGGACAAAAGCCAGGACUGCACUUUUCAAACUUGUCUGUAUUAUUUCACGGCCGUCUUACAUACUGUCUUACAGCGGAGGCCUUGGAGAAACGGAUCUGGCCUUGGGUGGGCCGAACUGGCCGCCAGUUUGUCACAAAACAGGCUAACUUCCAGCACCUGCCCAAAAACCGUCGACGAGAUACCUCCCCCUCCCCCAGGUGUCCAAUCACGCCGGAGGCCGAAGUGUGCAACAGGCUCCAUCUCGCAGAGGUACCCCGACCCGCCAUCGAUGAUCCGUGUAUGUGGUCCACUCCUUCUGGUGUACACCACCACUUUAGCUCCUCUGGCAAAAGCACCAAACUUGGUCCGGGGAAUCACACGCAGCCAUGAGUUUGUGGGUCCCUUUAGGAUGCACACCCAUAAGGAGAAUUAGGACAUUUGUUCCAAACUCACCAGUUCCUCGUCCCUCUGGCUCGGAAGCUUCGCCUACAUUCAGCUCCUCUAUCUGGGGGUCUCCAUGCUCUCUCCUGCUCACCCUGCCCAUGAGAUAAAUUUGACUGUGAAAUCGGGAUGUGGCGUCACCUUAUGUUUGCAUCACUGGCUGUGCUACGGCAAGUGAAGCACAAGCCGCCUCCAGCAGGAAUGGCCGGUAGAUCCAGAGCGGACUUCCCACUUUUCCCCACAGUGUCGUGACAGAUCAAUUUAGCACAAGGCUCAUCACCGGGACCUGAGUUCUGCUGCCGAUUAAAGCCAGCACCUCAAUACAUCACAUGAGGGUAAAUCUGCUGUGACAUGACUUCCUGUGUUAUAAAUCCUUCUGUAGAUGUGUGCUGUCUCUUCUUGGUGAGAUGAGCACUCAGAGAGGACUCUGACUGACAGCAAGGGGGAAGUGUCAAGAUUGACUUGGAAGCAGAAGAAUUGAAGAAGCUGUGGAUGUGCUUCCAUUUUUGACCACCAGUGUGGAGCCAGACUAUGCAAUUAAUUAAAUCAAUGUAUCCCCAUUUCAAGGCAACACCUUCAUGCAGCUCCACCCUGAGCAUGUCCACAUGCUGCCAUAUAAAUGCCGUCCCACUUAUCUAGUUCUCCUCUUGUCCAGAAGAGGGCAGCACGUCUUAAUGCAAGCAACCCAAAGUCUUCAGUCAUCUGAAAGUCUCCUGUCUUGAGUUCUUGAAAAUCGCAGACAGGCCAUUAUCGUGGAGAUUUUCUCAACAACAAAAAAAUCACCCAUGCAUGCUCUCAGCCCUCUAAUUGAAUCAUGCCCCUCUUCACUUUUUCUAAAAAGAAAAUUAUUUGGGCUGAAAUGACACCCUGCAAACACAUUGUGAUGAAUGAAAGAUGAUACAAUUUACUGCACACUUGUCUCACAUCCUCCCAUCAUCCUUAUCGUCCAUCACUUCUCAGUAUUCAACUUCUUAGUUCCAUUUCCUUCUCUGCUCACUUUUUUUUUUGUCCCCCUCUUUCCCCACCACUUUGCUUCUGCUCCACCCUGUAAUCAUGCCGGUUCAUGGCUCCCAUUCAGCCCGGUAUAUAUAGCAGUAAUUGUCGGGGUGCACUAUGGAGACUGGGCAGCGCAUGUGGACGCUCUCACAAAGCUGUUUGUAGCAAAACCUGUUGAUGGGAUUUGGGGGUACCACGGGCACACUCACAAAGGUACUUUCUCUUGGAGCCGAAAAAUGCUCACGACUGUAAAUUAACAACAUGCCUCCCUUUGUAUUCUUCACUCAGCGUGAUGUGACAUGCAGAAUAAAUGUGCCUCCUAAUGAGGUUUUGGGGUAAGAGCUUUAUGCAAAUACACGAGUCACUACAUAUUAACGGUUGCAGAGGGGAUUGAGCCUCAUUCCUCUUCAGCCGGCUGGCUUCUGAUCCGUGAAGCAGACCCGCGUAGCGUGCAAAUAGAAAACAAGCAAAAAAACAGGCGAACGGGCCGCAUUCCCAUCAGCGCUUCAUCAGCCUGAACGGGAUUGAAGUGAACGUGAGCAGCUGAAAUGAUGGUUGCCAGUUGGCUUUCAAGUGAAAACAGCAAUCUGUUUAAUCGCAAACAUAGGCCUCCCUGCCCCCCCCACCUCGAAAUGCUUGUGUGGCGUACCAAGCAUGGAACACUGCCUCCAAAAGAGAUGACGGCAA